UGGUGUGCAUUGGUCGGC
rnacentral:siRNA from 1 species